UUGACCUCGGAUCAGGUAGGAAUACCCGCUGAACUUAAGCAUAUCAAUAAGCGGAGGAAAAGAAACCAACUGGGAUUGCCUCAGUAACGGCGAGUGAAGCGGCAACAGCUCAAAUUUGAAAUCUGGCCCUCACGGGUCCGAGUUGUAAUUUGGAGAGGCAGUUUUGGGCACCGCGGCGGUGUAAAUUUCUUGGAACAGAAUGUCAGAGAGGGUGAGAAUCCCGUCUUGGACCGCCGUAGGACCCGUGUAAAACUCCUUCGACGAGUCGACUUGUUUGGGAAUGCAGGUCAAAAUGGGUGGUAAAUUUCAUCUAAAGCUAAAUAUUGGCCAGAGACCGAUAGCGCACAAGUAGAGUGAUCGAAAGAUGAAAAGCACUUUGAAAAGAGAGUUAAACAGUAUGUGAAAUUGUUGAAAGGGAAGCGCUGGCAACCAGACUCGCGCGCGGGGUUCCCCCUUGCUUCUGCUCGGGUCACUUCCCCGCGUCCGGGCCAUCAUCAGUUUUGGGGGCCGGUUAAAGGUCUCGGGAAAGUAUCCUCUCCUCCGGGGGAGGACUUAUAGCCCGGGGCGUCAUGCGGCCUCCCGGGACUGAGGAACGCGCUUCGGCGAGGAUGAUGGCGUAAUGGUUGUCAGCGACCCGUCUUGAAACACGGACCAAGGAGUCUAACAUCUAUGCGAGUGUUCGGGUGACAAACCCUGGCGCGGAAUGAAAGUGAACGGAGGUAGGAAGGCCUGAGCCUGCACUAUCGACCGAUCCUGAUGUCUUCGGAUGGAUUUGAGUAAGAGCAUAGCUGCUGGGACCCGAAAGAUGGUGAACUAUGCGUGAAUAGGGUGAAGCCAGAGGAAACUCUGGUGGAGGCUCGCAGCGGUUCUGACGUGCAAAUCGAUCGUCAAAUUUGCGUAUAGGGGCGAAAGACUAAUCGAAUCAUCUGGUAGCUGGUUUAUGCCGAAGUUUCCCUCAGGAUAGCAGUAACGUUUUCAGUUUUAUGAGGUAAAGCGAAUGAUUAGAGGCCUUGGGGUUGAAACAACCUUAACCUAUUCUCAAACUUUAAAUAUGUAAGAAGUCCUUGUUACUUAGUUGAACGUGGACAUUUGAAUGCACCGUUACUAGUGGGCCAUUUUUGGUAAGCAGAACUGGCGAUGCGGGAUGAACCGAACGCGAGGUUAAGGUGCCGGAAUGCACGCUCAUCAGACACCACAAAAGGUGUCAAUGCAUCUAGACAGCCGGACGGUGGCCAUGGAAGUCGGAAUCCGCUUAGGAGUGUGUAACAACUCACCGGCCGAAUGCAUUGGCCCUGAAAAUGGAUGGCGCUUAAGCGUGCUACCCAUACCUCGCCGUCGGGGUUGACAUGAUGCCCCGACGAGUAGGCAUGCGUGGAGGUCCGUGACGAAGCCUUGGGGGUGACCCUGGGUCGAACGGCCUCUAGUGCAGAUC
rnacentral:rRNA from 2 species